rnacentral:rRNA from 1 species
UGAACGACUCUCGGCAACGGAUAUCUCGGCUCUCGCAUCGAUGAAGAACGUAGCGAAAUGCGAUACUUGGUGUGAAUUGCAGAAUCCCGUGAACCAUCGAGUCUUUGAACGCAAGUUGCGCCCGAGGCCUCCUGGUCGAGGGCACGUCUGCCUGGGUGUCACG